rnacentral:rRNA from 1 species
AAGAUUAAGCCAUGCAUGUCUAAGUAUAAACAAAUCUAUACUGUGAAACUGCGAAUGGCUCAUUAAAUCAGUUAUAGUUUAUUUGAUAAUACUUUACUACAUGGUAUAACUGUGGUAAUUCUAGAGCUAAUACAUGCUUAAAAUCUCGACCCUUUGGAAGAGAUGUAUUUAUUAGAUAAAAAUCAAUGUCUUCGGACUCUUUGAUGAUUCAUAAUAACUUUUCGAAUCGCAU